GAUCCCAGCUGCCAUUUCUGACCUGCUCAGAACCAGCUUCAUGAUGGGCUCAAAGACCCAGGACCAGGUGCUCUUGUGACUUCUCUGACUUCAGUCCUUCUGGAGUCAGAUCACCCAGCUUCUCUGAUGAGUGACUGGUCAUUUUUAAAGCAUGCCUGCAGCAGUCUUCAAGAGGUUUCUGCCUGGGCAUCACAAUCAGCACACAUUUGCUCAUACACAUACCAGGUGAUGAGGACUCAACCACUGCAGACAGGCAGAGCCAUGCAAAUAAAGCCAUCCAGCAAGGUCACCUUUUCCUCAGAUGCCCCAGUUUCAGGAUGAUAGAAUUUGCAUAUUAAGUGUUAAUAGGCCUGGCAAUAACCAGCUUUUGCUUCCCUUCCUCAAUGAGGGACAUGCCAGAAACAGACUUGCACACAGGCUCUGCUCAUAUGGGAAACAGGCCUGACACACAGGGUCUGCUCAUAUGGGAAAAUGAUUUCAGUCACAGUCCUUAGCUCCAAAUUCUGUACUUGGAACCUAGAUUAUAAUCUAGCUCCUAAUCAAACUAGAUUCUGCUCCAGUUCAGUUUACUAAGGCAUUCCCUCUAAGCUGCCUCAGUGAAACCAGUGAGAGCCACUGGAUUACAAUUCUAAGUGCAGCUGUGCCUAAGAAGGAGAGAGUCCCACAGGAGAGGAGACCGGAGGGCAUAAGGCAGGGGAUGAUACAAAAUCCUGGACAGUCAUCACAUCAGUAACACAGCUUCAGAAAGUGGUGGGCUUGGAGGAGGGGAGAGAAAGAAACAAAAUGUCCCAAUAAUUUAAUGGCAGAGCUAGAAGAGAGCAUUUACAGCUAUUUUGGGACUCUCCAACAGAACACUUUUCCUGGAUGCACAGACAUUCAUAAUACUGGUAACUCUCAUCAACAGCUC
ensembl:lncRNA novel transcript